rnacentral:rRNA from 1 species
UACGUAGGGGGCAAGCGUUGUCCGGAUUUAUUGGGCGUAAAGAGCUCGUAGGUGGUUCGGUAAGUCGGAUGUGAAAUCUCCAGGCUCAACCUGGAGGGGUCAUUCGAUACUGCCGUGACUAGAGUUCGGUAGGGGAGUGUGGAAUUCCUGGUGGAGCGGUGAAAUGCGCAGAUAUCAGGAGGAACACCCGUAGCGAAGGCGGCACUCUGGGCCGAUACUGACACUGAGACGCGAAAGCGUGGGGAGCGAACAGG